rnacentral:misc_RNA from 1 species
UGUACCCUCGCUCUCUCCGUCUGCGCCCCUCCCCCUUCCCGUCGCACACGACACACCCGUGUGCACUCGGUGUGAGCUUCCUGCCAUAUCUACGUAUGCGCGUGUACGCAUUUUGUUUUUACUUGCGAAAUCUGUCUUGGCCCGUCAGCAGCUCCAGCACACACACACACACACACACACACACACACACACACACACACACACACCAGCGCUCACCACCACGCCGUGCCGCACAAACGCCGUUCUCGUGCAGCUGACGUGAGGAGAGGCGGCGCGAAGGCGAGCCGGCACACGUGCAGACGUGUCGAGUGGACAGUGACUAGCGAAGGCGGAAGCGGAUUACUUUCUCGAUAUUCCUUUGCUCAUCGUCGCGGGCGGAGCUUGACGACUGAACCGAUUCCAUAUUCUUCUGCGUUGCCGUUGUUGUUGUUGCUGCUCUCUGCGACGUGCACUUGCUCCAGGGAGAGUGUUAGCGGUGGUGGAGGAUCCUGCCGGGCCCCGAAGCGCCCCUCGCACCGUCCCCACCACGGCAUACAGGCACACCAACAGACAGCCCAUUAGAACUCAGAUUCCAUCACUCGUGUAGAUCGACCCCGGCCAACGCCAAGCGCAGCGAAGAAACAGAGAGAGGAAAGCGGCACGAUGGCCAUGGAGGAGGCUGCACAGGAGGUGCGGCGGAUCCUCUGUCAGAAUGACGUGGGAGAGACACUGAACUAUCUUUCUACUGUUACGCGGUGCAUCGAGGACAACCAGCACGACCUUCGCGCGGUUAUCGGCAACUCGUAUCGAGAUCUUCUCGGCGCCUGCGAUGGCGUGGUGGGAAUGGAGCGGGACUGCGCAGACAUCCUGACCAUUGAAGAGGCGAUGGAACGGGCUAGUGCGACACGUGACGUAGACGGCCGCGGCAACGCUGAGAUGAACACUGAGCCGCUUCUACCCCCCUCAUGGUUUGCCGCGCGCCUUCGGCGACAGCGGCGUGCGGCAGCAGCUACACUCACGACCACCGCCGACAACAACAAUACCGCCUCGAGCGAUAAACCGCCGCGCCUGUCGGCGACGAAGGGGUAUGCCGUCACCAACGGCGGGACGAUGAGUGAAGGCGAUCGCGGCGCGAGCGCGACCACCGCGGCGGAGGCGGAUCGUGACGCGCAUAGGGGGAGGAAGACGGAGCUCAACGCUGCACUGGCGCUGCCAACCGUCGAAUUGCCGUUGCCACACGCGGCACCAACGCACACGAGCACAAAGUACGCCCACCGCGAUGCUGCGGUAGUGGGCGAAGAGACGGGCCCAGCCGCUCCCGCGGCGCAGCGAAUGCGCUUGGCCGACGAACUGCAGGCGUUGCACCUCGAUUAUAUGACGCUGGCGUCUGCAACGGCCUCGAUGGCGAGGGGCGCAGCGGCGGCCGAUGCCGAGCUGUCGAGCCUCCUCGCCGACUCCAGUGUGCUUGCGUCUUUGCUGCGUCCGGCGGACCAACAUGAUGAGCAGCAGGACGGUCACUCCCCAGGUCCUUCACACCGCGCGGCGAGUGAUGCCGCCGCGCUCUCCGCCGCAAGCGGAGAAAAACGCGAGGCCCAUCUGCGCGCCCUAGAGCGAGAUCAACCCCUUGCCCGUCUUGCGCGUCGGCUGCACAGCGUGCAAGCGUCCCUUCGCGUCUACGCAGGCGGCAACGUCGGCGCACAGUUUUCACAGUGCGUCAGCGACGCCGCCACCGCAUCGUCGGCGGCGCUCGCCGGCGUAAGCGUGGAUAGCACGCUGCGCUCCGCUAAGCGGCCUCCGUCGUGGGCCACCGGCAUUCAGCGACGAGCAACGGCCCUCGAGGCGCGACUGGUUAAGUUGAUGUUGCAGCGUCUGCGCCGUGCGGCUGACGACUACGCGUCGCUUGCCGAGCAGGUGCCGAAGGUUCCAUCCGGGGCUGACCUGGGGGAGCCCUUGUCGGAGGCGAGGGCCGUGCGAGCUGCAGAAAAGCGCCACCUGAUGUGUGUGUGGGCGGUCUUUGCGCAAUGUCACGUCGCUCUGCGGGCUCUCCGCGACUCACCUACUCUCGUGAAAGCCCUCGUGGCGUGUGCGCCAGGUGCAGAACUGCCGGCGAAGCGUGUGUGUCCGUCGGGGAUACCAGGCACGGAGUCUGCGACAGCGCCCCCGACAAUGGCGUCACUGGAUAGCGCUGUGGAUGCGUUGUUCCAGCUGGCCACGCAGGACGUGAGGGCCGUCGUUUCGGCGGUGGUGGGCGGAGCGGCGUCGGUCGCCUCCGCGCCUGCCGGUCGCACGGCUGGCGAUGAGGCGCUUCCCGGUGCCGCUGAUCCGUGCCGGAUGCUGCUGGCGUUUUUGGCGGUGUUGCUGCUGCGCGAGAGUCAACUGAGCGCGGCGCGGUGGGCUGCUGUGGCUCCGUCGUUACUGCCGGCUGCGCUCCCGAGUUCCGGCGCGCAGCCGGCAGUAACGACGGCGGAUGCUUCUCCGCAGCCGCCAUCUGUGUUCCUUAACAGCAGCGUAGUAAACCAGAGGGCGGACGCGGCGGCGGGCCGCACAUCGAACCGCGCGAAGCCCGAGGGCGAUGCGCCCCCGUCAUCGCACUCGGCAGCUUCGCCCGAGACGCGCGUCUUUGCUACCGCCACGCACUUAUCGGCGUUGGGGUUGGCGGCAGCUACGGCCAACGGCCCCAAGGCGUCGACAGCGGCAUCUGUGGCGACAGUCAACGGAACGUCAAACACGGCUUGGGCCUUGCGGUGUUUCUCCGGCCUCGCCUAUCUGCUUCGAGCCUUUGCCGACUACGUCGAUCUGGUGCAGGCCACCUUGGCCGAGGUGGCCUCAACGCCAGCGGUGCUUGAUAAGGAAACGGCCGCUCUAUACUUGCUGCAGCGCAUCUGCCUGGCGGCUGCGGCUGCGUCCGAGGAGCAGCUCAGGGCCACUGGCCACGGCACCAGCGUUGCCGCUCUCGGGCGCUGCGAGGACGAACGGCCGACAUUCCCCACCCCUGCCUUGGCUUCUGGUGCGCGGUCGCUGGAUGAGCUGCUGCAGUGGCGCUUGCGCAAGGUCUGCGGGAGCGCCGCUGCCAGCGGCGUGCCUGGGGAAGGUCCCGACACUCCACAUGGCUCCCUCAAGGUGGGGGGCACCGACGUCCUGCCACUGCCUAUCGGCAGAAACGGCACGCCGAUGACGCCGAUGGGCGACCCUGAUAGCGUCGCGUCGGCAAAGGUGGCUCCCGAGGUGGCGCCGUCGCAGUCACGAGCGUUGGCUCGACGACGUGCUUAUGUUGAGCUACUCCGGGCGAGCGUGAACACGGUUGACGAGUUGCAGGCGAGCGGCGCAUCAUCGAUGGCUUUGGGCGAGCGCUCGCUUUCCGUUCGCGCAGAUGUCGUCGUAACGGAAAACACGUCCGCCACCUCCGGAGCGACAGAUUUGGUUCCACCGCUGCGGCUUGUGUGCCAUCAGCUGCUCGCGCCUCUUGUGUCGUCACUGGUGGUGCUGCUUGCGCGCGAUCCGGUGGCUCUGGCAGUGUACAGUGAAGGUCAGAGAAACCCGGACACCAGGCCUGCGAUGCGAGCGGUGCGCGACGCUCUGGAACGACUGCUGCCGAACGGCACGCAGCAGUUUUCGCUGUCUGGUACGCAGGGCUCCCGGAUGCCAUCUAGCUUCUCCGGCCUAGGGCAGACAUGGACGACCGUCAAUGAGGCGCGGUGGUGGGAGCUGGUGGAGCAGACGACCAUGCGCGCGGCGCUGCAGAGGUGCGUGACCGUUGCCUUGGAGUCUGUAAGCUUCGUGGAGGCCUGCAUUUCACAGGGUCUCGCAGCCUCUGCAUACCGCAUGCUACAGAGCAGUGUGGAAGACAGCCAAACCAAGCUUGGACAUCGCGUGAGCAGCAUCGGCAGAGACGGCGGCACCUCUCUCGGCCCCACCCGCGCAUCAGCGCUAGAGUGCACAUGGUCUGCGCUCUUCUCCGUACUUCGCCUGCACGUGCUGUCGACCGUGGAUUCGGUGAGUGACGCCGGUGGGGCACUUUCGCUUGAAGGCGCUGAAAUAUCAAGUGGUACGGAGACGAGGCACGGGGCCGUUCAUGGGUUUGAUGGGGCCACCACCUCAGCGCCGAUCAGUGGACUCACUGGACGCCGUGACGAGAGGGGAAGCCUGUCGUCCGCGAUGACUGGCAUCUGCUGGGACCGUUUCCGGCCACGAACAGCAGCGGGAGCCGCUGGCAGCGCACACAGGUCGUUCUACACGACCUCAGGCGAAGGUAUUUUUCGCGAAGAAGGGCUGGAGUGGGGCCGCGCAGCAUACCAGGCGGCGCAGCUGCCUCUGUCAGUGUUGCCCGAUGCGGCGAACGCGAAGAGGACGGAGCAGCAGCAGCAGCAGCAUACUUGGGGCGCCGCAGCAGUCGACGCUGGACUGAGCGCCUCGCAGCAGGCGCAGCUCGCAAAGAUCUUAAGCGGCAUGCGCGACAAGCUGUUUCCUGACUGGGCAGUGCGCUGUAUUGAUGAGCACGACACGACAAGGGGUACCCGACCCGGCGCUCUUGACAUGAACGGCCACGCUGCGGAGCUGCUGCAUCGGUGUCUGCUGACCCUCGUAGAGGCGGUGCAGGCGCAGACUGCCUCGGUGCAGGCAUCGGCUUGUAAGAACAGUGCAGGAUCACCGCCGUCAACGCCGCCGCUGCUGCUGCUGCCCACGCGCAUCGUGGGCUGGCUAAAGGAUGCUCUUCAUCGUGUAGCGGUGCAGCUGCGCAAUGCCGAUCCAGGCGUACCCCCCAACGGGGCUCAUGCGACAGUGGUGCACAGCUACGAGCUGUCGCUCCUCGUGCGCGUGUACUGGGAGGUGCUGCAGCGACUGCAGACGGCGGCUCCGCCAAGCGAGGCGACGGGGGCGCGGCAACUUUGCACCGACGCAGCGGAUCUCUACGAACGGGCUCAGGCGCCGUGGCAAGACAUGCUAACCCAGUUUUAUCGUGCGGCCCUUCAGCAAGCAUACAACGCCGUGCUGCGGCUGCGUGAGAGCGGAACCGAGGAGCCGAGACACUCGGCAGCGGCCAAUCGUGCCGGUGCAGCACUGCGUCGCGUGACGCACUUGAUGGACUCGGCUGCGUGGGUUCGCGCGCCGAUGGCGGGCCCCACUGCGCCAGAUGACAACAAUGCCAGCGGAAGUCACGGGGUCGCCUAUCCGGCGCAGCCUACUCCUGCCGUCAUGACGCUGACCCAGGUGGCCCUACGUUACCUCCACCAGGCGCUGUACGGUGCGCCAAGCGUGUAUAGCGACUCGCCGGUGCCCUUCAUGUCGUUUCCAUCUCGCACUGAAGCUACGUAUGGCGCCGCUUCUAUAUCCGAGCAAUUGCAGAGUGGCGCCGCCUCAGCAGCAGCGUCGGUGGGCUUUAGCGACGACAGGGGAUGCCGCUUGCAUGUGUUGGUGACAGGGAAGGUGCAGCAGCGUGCGCUGGAGCGCCUUGCCGCGACAUCGGCGGAGCUCUACGAAUUCGAGCUGUGCCCCCUCGUCGACGUGGUAGGUGAGAGCGGUGACAGCGGAGUUGCGGCACGUACCAGUGCGCUGCCACCGGGGAACGCUGCGCCCGCUACCGCUGCCGCCACGCAGAACCAGGCGGAUGACCUGCGCUUGCAGUGGUACAUGGAUGUGCUUUUCGCUUCUUCCGUGUGGUGUGCGGGGAGCGUGAGCGGAGGCGGCGGCGGCAGCAGCGCCGGGCUUUUCGCGACCGAAAGAGACUCCCCAGUCAAGGCGCUCUUCACGCCCGAUACAGGUGGUAGCGGCGUUGGCGUUGACGCCACUGCUUGCGUGGCGGAAGGACCGUUGCGGCGCGUCGUGCGCCAUCUCGAGGGCACGUGCGAUCCGGUGCGGUGGCGCAGCGGGGUCCCGCUUAUUCUCGCCGCGUAUCGUCAGUUUAUCUCGGCGAGUGCACUCCUGUGGGUAGCGCACAGCGAGGAGCCCCACGAUGGCGAUGCGGGCGACACACACAACGAGGGAGCGUUCUGCGCUACCUCGGUGGCUGCUGCCGCAGCGACACGACCGUUUAGUGCCGCCGGCGCGAUGGCUGCCGCGCCCUUCUUGACUGAGAAGCUUCUCCUUCCACGUGAGCGGGUGAACCGUCUGGCACUGCUGCCGAUUGCGGCGUCGUCGAGCGCGGCGCUGGCUUCCGCCUCUAUAGGGGCCGGUGGCACGCCGUCCGCGGCUUCUGCGCGUGCUGCAGCCGUCGUCCCGCAGACUUACUCACUUCUACUUCCGACGGCGUCGGAGUUGAAUCCGUAUGCGCCUUCCUCGUCUUCGUCCGUUGGCGUGCCGCCCACUGGGCCGUAUCGUUUUGGCGGUCCCUCGUCUGCAGUGGCUGCUGCUUCGGCGGGGGCCAGCGGUGGCGUUGGCAUAAACUCCCUUCUUCGCUCCGCCAACGGUGGCCACGACGCUUCGGCGGCCUUGCUGCUUGGCGGCGUUGGUGCAGCGGACAUGAUCGGGGUAGGUGAGGUCGCCGUCCCGGCGGAUUCGAGCUCGGCGGCGGCGGCAGCCAGCUCACUGUGGGGCACCACCCAACGAGGAUGGAGUCAACUAUGGGGCACGAGCUGAGCUCUCCUGUCCUGAUGGCGACGCCACGUGGACCUCACCUGUUAUCCUCGCGUGGCACGGACGUAUUCGCAUGUACAUACGUGCUGCAGGUGUGAAGCGCUGCGCUUGUUGAGUGUGCCACUGGACUCUGUGGAAGCGUGUGUGCUUCGGUAUGUGUUUGGGCAGUGGGCGCGGGUGCACACAACG